GUGUUUAUCUCCAACAGGGUGUGUGUUAUCUCCAACAGGGUGUGUGUUUUAUCUCCACAUGUGGGUGUGUUUAUCUCCAACAGGGUGGGUGUGUUUAUCUCCAUCAUGUGGGUGUGUUUAUCUCCAUCAGGGUGGGUUGUGUUAUCUCCAUCAGGGUGGGUGUGUUUAUUCUCCAUCAGGGUGGGUGUGUUUAUCUCCAUCAGGGUGGUGUGUUUUAUCUCCAUCAGGGUGGGUGUGUUUAUCAGGGUGGGUGUGUUUAUCUCCAUCAGGGUGGGUUGUGUUUAUCUCCUUCAUGGUGGGUGUGUUUAUCUCCAUCAGGGUGGGUGUGUUUAUCUCCAUCAGGGUGGGUGUGUUUACUCCAUCAGGGUGGGUGUGUUUAUCUCCAUCAGGGUGCGUGUGUUUAUCAGGGUGGGGUGUGUUCAUUCCCUCAGGGGUGGGUGUCUUAUCUCCAACAGGGUG
rnacentral:lncRNA from 1 species